rnacentral:rRNA from 1 species
UACGUAGGGUGCAAGCGUUGUCCGGAAUCAUUGGGCGUAAAGCGCGUGUAGGCGGCUUGGUAAGUCCGCUCUGAAAGCCCGGGGCUCAACCCCGGGAGGCGGGUGGAUACUGCUGGGCUCGAGUCCGGAAGAGGAGUGUGGAAUUCCUGGUGUAGCGGUGAAAUGCGCAGAUAUCAGGAGGAACACCGAUUGCGAAGGCAGCUCGCUGGGACGUGACUGACGCUGAGACGCGAAAGCGUGGGGAGCAAACAGG